rnacentral:rRNA from 1 species
GUCUGAGCGGAUGAAGGGAGCUUGCUCCUGGAUUCAGCGGCGGACGGGUGAGUAAUGCCUAGGAAUCUGCCUGGUAGUGGGGGACAACGUUUCGAAAGGAACGCUAAUACCGCAUACGUCCUACGGGAGAAAGCAGGGGACCUUCGGGCCUUGCGCUAUCAGAUGAGCCUAGGUCGGAUUAGCUAGUUGGUGAGGUAAUGGCUCACCAAGGCGACGAUCCGUAACUGGUCUGAGAGGAUGAUCAGUCACACUGGAACUGAGACACGGUCCAGACUCCUACGGGAGGCAGCAGUGGGGAAUAUUGGACAAUGGGCGAAAGCCUGAUCCAGCCAUGCCGCGUGUGUGAAGAAGGUCUUCGGA